GCACAAGCGGUGGAUGAUGUGGAUUAAUUCGAUGCAACGCGAAGAACCUUACCUACCCUUGACAUGUCCGGAACUUGCCAGAGAUGGCUUGGUGCCCGAAAGGGAAUCGGAACACAGGUGCUGCAUGGCUGUCGUCAGCUCGUGUCGUGAGAUGUUGGGUUAAGUCCCGCAACGAGCGCAACCCUUAUCAUUAGUUGCUACGCAAGGGCACUCUAAUGAGACUGCCGGUGACAAACCGGAGGAAGGUGGGGAUGACGUCAAGUCCUCAUGGCCCUUAUGGGUAGGGCUUCACACGUCAUACAAUGGUCGGUACAGAGGGUUGCCAAGCCGCGAGGCGGAGCCAAUCCCACAAAGCCGAUCGUAGUCCGGAUUGUUCUCUGCAACUCGAGAGCAUGAAGUCGGAAUCGCUAGUAAUCGCAGGUCAGCAUACUGCGGUGAAUACGUUCCCGGGUCUU
rnacentral:rRNA from 1 species